rnacentral:lncRNA from 1 species
AGAGCUGCUGCACUGAUUAAAGGGCUGAUGAUAACUUCUCAGCAGAAAGGUUAACGGGUGUGUGCGAUUUUAUCUGCAGCAGAGACUGUGAGGAGGUGGAGGGGAGGGGGCUUCAGAAUGGUCUUCGGGUUGAUGAUGGAUCGUUCAAAACUGCUCUAGGUGGCUGGGCGCGGUGGCUCAAGGAUGAGCAGGACUCACUGCCCCUGGAGGGUGCUGGAAGGAACCGCCAAGGUGGCGCCAUCCAACCUGCUCAAUGGACACGGCUCCUUAGGAACUGACAGCCAAACACAUUAACAACCGAGAGUCAGCAGUUACAGUGGGAAGGUUUUCUCUCAGGAUAGAAGUGUGGAGAGUUUGUGCCUGUGAAAUCUUGGUAGGGAGUCUUUUGUCAAAAACCCAAUUGAGGCCGGGCGUGGUGGCUCACACCUGUAAUCCCAGCACUUUGGGAGGCCGAGGUGGGCGGAUCAUGAGGUCAGGAGAUCGAGACCAUCCU